rnacentral:rRNA from 1 species
UACGUAGGUGGCAAGCGUUGUCCGGAAUUAUUGGGCGUAAAGGGCUCGUAGGCGGUCCGUCACGUCGGGAGUGAAAACUUGGGGCUUAACCCCAAGCCUGCUUCCGAUACGGGCGGACUAGAGGUAGGCAGGGGAGAACGGAAUUCCUGGUGUAGCGGUGAAAUGCGCAGAUAUCAAGCGGAACACCAGUGGCGAAGGCGAGUCCCUGGACAACUCCUGACACUGAGGCACGAAAGCUAGGGGAGCAAACAGG